CCCCCCUGCCAAUAAAAACUCUCAAGGGGGAUAACGCUGUUAUCCCUAAGGUAAUUUAAUCUUACAAUCAAAAUAAAUGGAUCAAGUAAAUAUAAAUAAAUAUAACAACAAAAAGGAGGGGUUAAAUAAAUCCCUCCCAUCACCCCAACAAAACAUAUUAAACAGCCCAGUGAACCCUCACAAACAGAAAAAGGACCAUAAUAAAUGUUAAACUCUAUAGGGUCUUCUCGUCCCAUAAAAACAUCUAAGAAUUUUAACUCAAAGAACAAAUUCAAUAAACAAUUUAAAAUUAAGACAGCCCAUGCCUCGUCAAGCCAUUCAUACCAGAUCACAAUUAAAGAACUAAUGACUAUGCCUACCUUUGCACGGUCAAAAUACCGCGGCCCUUCAACA
rnacentral:rRNA from 1 species